rnacentral:rRNA from 1 species
AACCACCUGAUCCCAUCUCGAACUCAGAAGUGAAAAUGUUCAGCGCCGAUGAUAGUUUGGGGUUUCCCCAUGCGAAAGUAGGUCAUUGCCAGGC